rnacentral:lncRNA from 1 species
AUAAAGAAAUUCGUUAUACAAUUACCCGUUUUAGUUAAUUAAACUUGAGAAUUAAUCAUUAUGCAAUGUUUAAAUCAUUUGCAGUAUUUAUAUAUCGUCUAAAAUAUGAAUUAUUUAAUAAAAUAUAUGUACGUGCAAAUACUCGUGAAAUACCGGAAAUCAUCAAAUUACCGUCUUUGAUUCAGUAUACAACAUGUACAAUGUAUUCACUCAUAAGCAUUAUCAAUUUGCAACUGAAAACAAACAUUUAAUUGUCGAUUUAUGAUGUUUUUGUGAGACAAAUUAUUUUAUAAAGUGAAUGUGUAACGAAAUAUUUAUGAACAAAA